AUUGAACGCUGGCGGCAUGCCUUACACAUGCAAGUCGAACGGUAACAGGUCUUCGGAUGCUGACGAGUGGCGAACGGGUGAGUAAUACAUCGGAACGUGCCUAGUAGUGGGGGAUAACUACUCGAAAGAGUGGCUAAUACCGCAUGAGAUCUACGGAUGAAAGCAGGGGAUCGCAAGACCUUGUGCUACUAGAGCGGCCGAUGGCAGAUUAGGUAGUUGGUGGGAUAAAAGCUUACCAAGCCGACGAUCUGUAGCUGGUCUGAGAGGACGAUCAGCCACACUGGGACUGAGAAACGGCCCAGACUCCUACGGGAGGCAGCAGUGGGGAAUUUUGGACAAUGGGCGCAAGCCUGAUCCGGCAAUGCCGCGGGCAGGAUGAAGGCCUUCGGGUUGUAAACUGCUUUUGUACGGAACGAAAAGCCCUGGGUUAAUACCCUGGGGUCAUGACGGUACCGUAAGAAUAAGCACCGGCUAACUACGUGCCAGCAGCCGCAGUAAAAC
rnacentral:rRNA from 1 species